AGUGAACGCUGGCGGUAGGCCUAACACAUGCAAGUCGAACGGCAGCACAGUAAGAGCUUGCUCUUACGGGUGGCGAGUGGCGGACGGGUGAGGAAUACAUCGGAAUCUACUUUUUCGUGGGGGAUAACGUAGGGAAACUUACGCUAAUACCGCAUACGACCUACGGGUGAAAGCAGGGGAUCUUCUGACCUUGCGCGAUUGAAUGAGCCGAUGUCGGAUUAGCUAGUUGGCGGGGUAAAGGCCCACCAAGGCGACGAUCCGUAGCUGGUCUGAGAGGAUGAUCAGACACACUGGAACUGAGACACGGUCCAGACUCCUACGGGAGGCAGCAGUGGGGAAUAUUGGACAAAGGGCGCAAGCCUGAUCCAGCCAUACCGCGUGGGUGAAGAAGGCCUUCGGGUUGUAAAGCCCUUUUGUUGGGAAAGAAAAGCAGCAGGUUAAUACCCCGCUGUUCUGACGGUACCCAAAGAAUAAGCACCGGCUAACUUCGUG
rnacentral:rRNA from 1 species